GGAUAGUAGACAUGAAACAAACUAUCACUUAAACAAUGUGAUUAAGAGUAUUGUAUUAGAGAAGGACUGUAUUGCAUUGUAGUUGUAACUGGAUAGGUUUUCCAACCAAUUCUACUUAGCUUGGGUAACCAUGACAUGCUGUUAGGUGUCACUCAUGAUUUGUGGAAGCCCUGAUUAUUAGCAAACACUAAUUUUAAGGGAGAAUUGAAAUGUGGUUUCAAUUCACAAUCGAUCGUUAAGAGUAACAAUCGCCCACUACCUUGCUAAAUGGAAUCUAAUGGAUCGUACACCCAGUAAGGAUGAAAGUGAAGAAAUUAAAUGAAAUGGAUAUGCAAUUAAAUGGUUUAAUUGAAGAAUGGUCAAGAUUAAUUAAUUAGUUAAUUAAUUUUACGAAAGGUUCGUAUUGGGCUUUUAAGUUGGUUUUGGGUGUCGGGGCCCAAAAGUGUUUUGGUCCACAAGGCCCAUUAUGUUUAAGUUGUAUGACAACUAAAACAAAAUGGGCAAUAAGCCCAAUCACAACAAAUAGGCCGGCCAUGGUGAGGAGAGGGUGAAAGUUUGCUUAAUUGCAAGUUUGCCACUCACCUAAGAAAAGUGUUAUAAAAGCAACUUUAUAGCUAUUUUUCUCAUAAGGGUUUUUCUUGUAGAAAAGAGGUGAAACCUAUUCUCUCUUUUUCAACAAGGAGGCUGGCCACUUAGAGGAGAUUUAUCUAGCAAUCUUUUCUUCUCUAAGUCAUCCAUUUCAUCUUCACACCUCACCCUUGGUGUGGAGACUUAGAGACACCAAACCUUUGGUGUUUUACAGAUCCUUUCCUCACAUCCUCAAGGACCAAAGGAGCACAAAAGGGGAAGGAAAUCACAAGCAAGAUCCAAGGAGCUUGGAUGUGACUUGAAGGCCCUCCACUUGGGUGAAUCCCUUGUGUAAACAAGGAUGAGCUUCAAGGGUAAAGAAUCUUUAAAUUCUUCAUUCUCUUUAAUGUUGUUAAAGAGUCUUUUGGUUCACCAUUCACUAGGCUUUGAAAGUCAUGGGUUUUAUGAAUUGUUUUUGAAUGCAUGCCUACUUUAAUGUGUUAAUAGUUUGCAUAUGUAUUCAAAUGUUCUUACUUGUUCUUAGCUAAGACAAAUUUUUUCCUUCAAUAAUAUCUUGCAAUUAACAUGGAAAUGAUUUCUAAUUUAAAUAGGAAGUUUUGGGAGUUACCUUUUGAACAAAAUCAAUAAGGGAUUGAUGAGGAGUGAUAAGAGGAAUUUGAAUAAAUACCAUAUUGAUCACCUUUGACUCUUCCUUGAUUAAGUUGUUAUUGUCCAUUGUAUGUGCAUGGGAAUCCCGGUGUGCUUCGAGCGUAAUCUCGUCUUAUUUUACACAAAAGUUCUCAUGUCACCUCCAUGAUUUUUUGGAUUAUUUUUUGUUCCACAAAUGCCCCCACACCCACUGGGCUGCUCACAGGAAAGGGUAGUAGGUGUAGAGAUCUCUAAUAGCUUAGGGAAACAUAAGAUAGUUUCCUAAUUUGAUGCAGAUUCCCAGUUUGACUUGGAAUUAGAUUCUUCUAGGAAAGAGAAAUAAAUUGCCACUAAACCCUACCUUAAUUAGGGGAUUAAAUUAACUUUGGAGGGCAAUUAUUUAUCCCUACAACAAAGAGAGAAAGCUAAAGGAUAUUUGUUCCCUUUUCCCUAGCAUUCUUCUUCGCUUGCCCGUGCAAAUAACUGUCUUCCUUUGAUUUCUUUGUCUUCUCCGCAUUGCACCAAGGUAAGGAAAACAUAAUUUUCUUAGUCUUCUUCUUAGGUGGUGCUGUCGUGGGGCAAUCGUCAGGGUGGUAUGGCACGUCGGUUGGCAGGGUCUAGGAAUUGGCUCGGCAUGGGCCUAGGAGGUAGUGUGGCAGGGACCACGGCUUGGGUUGCUCAACUUGGCUA
rnacentral:lncRNA from 1 species